rnacentral:rRNA from 1 species
AUUGAACGCUGGCGGCAGGCCUAACACAUGCAAGUCGAGCGGAUGAAGGGUGAUUGCUCCUGGAUUCAGCGGCGGACGGGUGAGUAAUGCCUAGGAAUCUGCCUGGUAGUGGGGGAUAACGUCCGGAAACGGGCGCUAAUACCGCAUACGUCCUGAGGGAGAAAGUGGGGGAUCUUCGGACCUCACGCUAUCAGAUGAGCCUAGGUCGGAUUAGCUAGUUGGUGGGGUAAAGGCCUACCAAGGCGACGAUCCGUAACUGGUCUGAGAGGAUGAUCAGUCACACUGGAACUGAGACACGGUCCAGACUCCUACGGGAGGCAGCAGUGGGGAAUAUUGGACAAUGGGCGAAAGCCUGAUCCAGCCAUGCCGCGUGUGUGAAGAAGGUCUUCGGAUUGUAAAGCACUUUAAGUUGGGAGGAAGAGCAGUAAGUUAAUACCUUGCUGUUUUGACGUUACCAACAGAAUAAGCACCGGCUAACUUCGUG